AUUUUCUUUGAUAUGGAUCAAAGCCAUAGGUUAAGCAUGAAAGAAGAAAGUAUUUUCUUUGAUAUGGAUCAAAGCCAUAGGUUAAGCAUGAAAGAAGAAAGCAUUUUCUUUGAUAUGGGCCAUAGGUUAAGCAUGAAAGAGGAAAGCAUUUUCUUUGAUAUGGAUCAAAGCCAUAGGUUAAGCAUGAAAGAGGAAAGCAUUUUCUUUGAUAUGGAUCAAAGCCAUAGGUUAAGCAUGAAAGAGGAAAGCAUUUUCUUUGAUAUGGAUCAAAGCCAUAGGUUAAGCAUGAAAGAAGAAAGCAUUUUCUUUGAUAUGGAUCAAAG